rnacentral:rRNA from 1 species
UACGUAGGGUCCAAGCGUUAUCCGGAAUCACUGGGCGUAAAGCGUGCGUAGGUGGCGUGUUAAGUGUGAUGUUAAAUCGUGUGGCUCAACCAUAUCGGUGCAUCACAUACUGGCAUGCUAGAGGACAGCAGGAGGCAAGUGGAAUUUGUAGUGUAGCAGUGAAAUGCGUAGAUAUUAACAAGGAACACCAAUGGCGAAGGCAGCUUGCUGGGCUACUCCUGACACUGAGGUACGAAAGCGUGGGGAGCGAACAGG